UUGACCUCGGAUCAGGUAGGACCACCCGCUGAACUUAAGCAUAUCAAUAAGCGGAGGAAAAGAAACCAACAGGGAUUGCCCUAGUAACGGCGAGUGAAGCGGCAACAGCUCAAAUUUGAAAUCUGGCCCCGGGCCCGAGUUGUAAUUUGUAGAGGAUGCUUUAGGCGUCGGCGCCUGUAGAGUUCCCUGGAAUGGGACGCCAUAGAGGGUGAGAGCCCCGUACGGCGGGAUGCCUAGCCUCUAUAAAGCUCCUUCGACGAGUCGAGUAGUUUGGGAAUGCUGCUCAAAAUGGGAGGUAAAUUUCUUCUAAAGCUAAAUACCGGCCAGAGACCGAUAGCGCACAAGUAGAGUGAUCGAAAGAUGAAAAGCACUUUGAAAAGAGGGUCAAAAAGUACGUGAAAUUGUUGAAAGGGAAGCGCUUGCGACCAGACUUGUACCCAGUGAAUCAUCCGGCGUUUUCGCCGGUGCGCUUCACUGGGUUCAGGCCAGCAUCGGUUUCCCCAGGGCGUUAAAAGCAGCGGGAACGUGGCUCUUCAGGGAGUGUUACAGCCCGCUGCAGAAUAUCCUUAGGGGGACCGAGGACCACGCUUCGGCACGGAUGCUGGCGUAAUGGUCAUCAGCGACCCGUCUUGAAACACGGACCAAGGAGUCAAGCAUUAGGGCGAGUGUUUGGGUGUAAAACCCGCACGCGUAAUGAAAGUGAACGCAGGUGAGAGCUUCGGCGCAUCAUCGACCGAUCCUGAGGUAUUCGGAUGGAUUUGAGUAGGAGCCUUACCGCUUGGACCCGAAAGUUGAUGAACUAUGCCUGUAUAGGGUGAAGCCAGAGGAAACUCUGGUGGAGGCUCGCAGCGGUUCUGACGUGCAAAUCGAUCGUCAAAUAUGGGCAUGGGGGCGAAAGACUAAU
rnacentral:rRNA from 1 species